rnacentral:rRNA from 1 species
UACAGGGGGUGCAAACGUUGCGCGGAAUUAUUGGGCGGAAAGCGCACGUAGGCGGGCAGUUAUGUCGGAUGUGAAAGCCCUUGGCUUAACUGAGGAAGUGCAUCCGAAACUGGCAGGCUAGAGUACUAAAGAGGGUCGCGGAAUUCCCGGUGUAGAGGUGAAAUUCGUAGAUAUCGGGAGGAACACCGGUGGCGAAGGCGGCGACCUGGGUAGAUACUGACGCUGAGGUGCGAAAGCGUGGGGAGCAAACAGG